CUGCGUCAGUCUUCUUUUUCAUGUCAGCAAUAACACAAUUACUGCUGAGAAAAAGGUCCAUUAGAAGUGGCAGCAUGUGACAACGGCACAAUCAGACAGCCUGCAGGGGAUUUUUUGUUCGAUGGAGGACAGUGGGAUAAUCUAAACUGCAGCAGGCUGAGCAGGCACAACCGAACUAAGUGAAUGCUAUGGUCGGGCAUGCUCGUGGCAAACACAAGUCCAGAGUCAUUCCCCCCAUCCAGGCCAUUGAGCCAUGAAGUCACACCAGCCAGGAAACUGGAUCCUCGUUUAGACUUUCUGUAGGCUGGCAGAGGCCAGCGGCCUGAUAUAGCCUCUGUCCUCAGGUCCAUCACAUAGAGGAAGUGGUUGUCAAAUAGGAGGGCGAACACCUCGCCAAAGCUGAGCAAGGAGAGGUUUGCCGGGUCCUGCAUUUUUAUCACCCUGGGAACAUCAAGGCAAAGAGAAGUAAGAAAUUGGUACUAUUUGGCUCAAGUUCGUAAUUGCGUUGUGCAAAUUAGUAGUCAUGUACACACACAGUUUAAGUUUGAAAGCCUCACAUUUGGACAUUAAUUCUCCAGUAAUGCUAAAGUUAGUUAAAGUGAAUGUUCAGAUUCAGAUUGUGUAGGCUGAUAAAUGUGAGUGUAAUACAUCCACAGUUUGGUCCAUUAAUUCCUCCCCCGUUGCAAGAAUGAGAGCUUCACCAGGAGUGUACUGCUGCAAAAUGAAUCAAGUAGAUAUAGACCAGCAAACAACAUGAUUGUGAGUGGUAACACAAAGCUAUAAAUUAUUUUGAAGGAUGCAAAACAACAACCCACGCAUGUUCAGGUUUCAUUUUCAAUGCUCUUUUCAGCACCCUGGUGUCCAAAGUGGCACAACUAUUUUGUGUCGUAGCACUGCCACUGUAUCACCACACAAUGUCACAGAGUGCUGAACAUGAAACCAAAACAAACUUGUAUUGUUGUGCAUCCUUCAAAACAAUUAAUCAGCUUUGUGUUGCCUCUCAAUUGUGUUAUUUUCCUGUCUGUGUGUAUUUCAUUUAUGUUUGAAGCAGAACACUCCUCGUGAAGCUCUCGUUCUUACAACGAGGAGGAAAUUAAAGGACCAAACUCGGUGGAUGUAUUAUACUAACAUGUAAAAGCAAAUACCACUAUAUGGGUCAGAAUCCAAACUAUCACUUUAACAUUCAGGCAGCAGAGAAACAAAAGUUUAGACACCACCACUUUGUAUUGAGAAGAAUAGUGGGGAGCCAAUCAGAGCCAUUGAUUUGAGUGACUCAAUAUUCAGCAGAGAUGAAGCCAAACACUCAACGCUGCAUGUAACCAAAUUCAAAUGUCAUUCAAAUGUCAUCGCCUCAUAAAGUUACCAGUGUGGCACUUGACAACAGAACUCUGGAGAGGCCAUGUUGACUUUUUAAAAAAAUUUCAUGUGCACAAUCAUGCCCAAAGUCCUAAUUCAUGUCCACGAUUUACUUAUUUUAUAAUCUCAAUUUGCUAUCUCAAGCUCUCAGUUUAAUGGCACUGUGCCUCGUCUGAAAAAAACACGCCUACAACGUCAGAGACUGGAGCACUAGUGCUGCAUGUGCCUCCAGGAUGCCCAAAAAUGUAUAAUGAAUUAUAUGAUUUUAUAUGAAUUUUAAUAAUAAGAGCAACUUAUGACAUUCACAAUUCAGAUACCCUCCUGUAAACUCUGUGAUUAAUGCUUCUGCCUCCAAAAACUUGGAUUGCAUUUAGUGAUGGGAUGUUUGUUAGGUGUUGAUUUCAAUCCUUGCGCAUUAUAGUAUACACACAAGAAUGAGUUGCUCCAGCUGCAUAAAAAUGAACAUAAAAUAGCUGACCUGAGAAUCUCAAAACUGGCAAAGUCCCACUGAUAAACUCCGAGGUCAGAGCUGCAGACAAUGUAGCGUCCAUCAAACUGCAGGCGUGGCUGAAGGCUGACGCUGCGAUCCUCCGACACUGACAGGGUCUUCAAGCACUUGCAGUUUAUCUCUCUCCCUAAAGGCCAAACCUUCAGAGGGGAGGGAAAAAAGUGUUUGCUCCACCCAAUGGACAUUUCAACUAUUACAGUUUACAGAUGUGAACCAUCAUGUACAGAGACAACUUACAUAGUGUAAAAAGUAUAAAGUGUAAAAAGCUGUUUUUCAAACUAAGAGUAAAAGGGGAUAGAGACAGCAAUAUAGAGAUGUUAACAUUACCUUAAUUUCAUACUUAUCAGCACUUAAGAGGAUAUAAUCACCAGGACUGUGCACCAUAGAUUCUACUUCACUUUUCUGCAGUAUCACCUGACAGAAGAUAAACACAGAUACAGUUGGUUAAGAACAGCGAAAGAUUUUUAUGGCUGUAUUCAGAUGUUUUCAGUUUAAGACAAAACCAGUUUGGAUCUCUGUUUACACUGUAAUGCAACUUAUAUUUAAUGGCAGUUUCCUUUUAUCACUGUGACUAGAGAUUCACUACCUUUUCACUUUGCAUUGCAACCACUGAAAAUUAGGGAACAGCUAAUCUGAAACGUAUCACGUCAAUAGGAAACACAUUUAAACCAAUCAAUGGCAACUGGGAACCAUUCAUGGUAUGACACCAAGCUGAAUUUCUGACACGGUCAUGCUUUGAAAAAAAAAAAAAAAAA